UCCUACGGGAGGCAGCAGUGGGGAAUUUUCCGCAAUGGGCGAAAGCCUGACGGAGCAAUACCGCGUGAGGGAAGACGGCCUAUGGGUUGUAAACCUCUUUUUUCAGGGAGGAAUUUUGACGUGUACCUGAAGAAUAAGCAUCGGCUAACUCCGUGCCAGCAGCCGCGGUAAGACGGAGGAUGCAAGUGUUAUCCGGAAUCACUGGGCGUAAAGCGUCUGUAGGUGGUUAAGCAAGUUAACUGUUAAAUCUUGAGGCUCAACUUCAAAAUCGCAGUCGAAACUGUUUGACUAGAGUAUAGUAGGGGUAAAGGGAAUUUCCAGUGGAGCGGUGAAAUGCGUAGAUAUUGGAAAGAACACCGAUGGCGAAGGCACUUUACUGGGCUAUUACUGACACUCAGAGACGAAAGCUAGGGUAGCAAAUGGGAUUAGAUACCCCAGUAGUCCUAGCCGUAAACAAUGGAUACUAGAUGUUGAACAGAUCGACCUGUGCAGUAUCAAAGCUAACGCGUUAAGUAUCCCGCCUGGGAAGUAUGCUCGCAAGAGUGAAACUCAAAGGAAUUGACGGA
rnacentral:rRNA from 1 species